GUAGGUGAACCUGCGGAAGGAUCAUUACCGAGUUCAUGCCCUUCGGGGUAGAUCUCCCACCCUUUGUAUACUAUACCUUUGUUGCUUUGGCGGGCCGCCUAGCUACUGGCUUCGGCUGGUAAGUGCCCGCCAGAGAACCCAAAACCCUGAAUUAUUAGUGUCGUCUGAGUAAAAUAUUUAAUAUUUAAAACUUUCAACAACGGAUCUCUUGGCUCUGGCAUCGAUGAAGAACGCAGCAUCUGACUGACUG
rnacentral:misc_RNA from 1 species